GAUUGUUUGAUCAUGGGCUCAGACGAACGUUGGGCGGCGUGGAUGAGGCAUGCAAGUCGAACGUGAAAGCCGCAAGGUGAGUAGCGUGGCGGACGGGCGAGUAACACGUAAUCAAGCUGCCUGCGAGACGGGGAUAACUUCGGGAAACCGAAGCUAAGACCCGAUGGUCUACCGAGACUGCAUGGUUUUGGUAGUAAAUGGGCGGGAUCCUCCGGGAUCGCCUGCUCGCAGAGGUGAUUGCGGCCCAUCAGCUAGUUGGUAGGGUAACGGCCUACCAAGGCAACGACGGGUAGCCGGCCUAAGAGGGUGGUCGGCCGCACUGGGACUGAGACACUGCCCAGACUCCUACGGGAGGCUGCAGUCGAGAAUCUUCCGCAAUGGGCGAAAGCCUGACGGAGCGACGCCGCGUGGAGGACGAAGGCCUUCGGGUUGUAAACUCCUGUCACGAGUUAAGAAGGCGCCUGUGCGAACAGCGCAGGCGUUUGACGUAAGCUCGAGAGGAAGCACUGGCUAACUCUGUGCCAGCAGCCGCGGUAAUACAGAGAGUGCAAACGUUGUUCGGAAUUACUGGGCUUAAAGCGCGCGUAGGCGGCAUCGUUAGUGUCUGGUGAAAUCCCACGGCUCACCCGUGGAACUGCCGGGCAUACUGCGGUGCUAGAGUGUGGUAGGGGAGAGCGGAACUCCUGGUGGAGCGGUGAAAUGCGUAGAUAUCAGGAGGAACACCGGUGGCGAAGGCGGCUCUCUGGUCCAUAACUGACGCUGAGGUGCGAAAGCUAGGGGAGCAAACGGGAUUAGAUACCCCGGUAGUCCUAGCUGUAAACGAUGGGCACUAGCUUGGGGUCUCCCUGUGUGAUCCCAGGUGAAGCAAAAGUGAUAA
rnacentral:rRNA from 1 species